rnacentral:rRNA from 1 species
AUUGAACGCUGGCGGCAUGCCUUACACAUGCAAGUCGAACGGUAACGGGCCUUCGGGUGCCGACGAGUGGCGAACGGGUGAGUAAUACAUCGGAACGUGCCCGAUCGUGGGGGGUAACGCGGCGAAAGCUUUGCUAAUACCGCAUACGAUCUACGGAUGAAAGCAGGGGACCGCAAGGCCUUGCGCGGACGGAGCGGCCGAUGGCAGAUUAGGUAGUUGGUGGGAUAAAAGCUUACCAAGCCGACGAUCUGUAGCUGGUCUGAGAGGAUGAUCAGCCACACUGGGACUGAGACACGGCCCAGACUCCUACGGGAGGCAGCAGUGGGGAAUUUUGGACAAUGGGCGCAAGCCUGAUCCAGCCAUGCCGCGUGCAGGAUGAAGGCCUUCGGGUUGUAAACUGCUUUUGUACGGAACGAAAAGCCUUCUUUUAAUACAGGAGGGUCAUGACGGUACCGUAAGAAUAAGCACCGGCUAACUACGUG